rnacentral:rRNA from 1 species
CUCGUAGCUUGCUAUGAGAACAAUUAGUGGCAGACGGGUGAGUAAUGCAUAGGAAUCUACCUAGUAGUAUAGGAUAGCCACUAGAAAUGGUGGGUAAUACUGUAUAAUCCCUGCGGGGGAAAGAUUUAUCGCUACAUGAUGAGCCUAUGUUAGAUUAGCUAGUUGGUGGGGUAAUGGCCUACCAAGGCAGUGAUCUAUAGCUGGUCUGAGAGGAUGAUCAGCCACACUGGAACUGAGACACGGUCCAGACUCCUACGGGAGGCAGCAGUGGGGAAUAUUGGACAAUGGGCGCAAGCCUGAUCCAGCUAUGCCGCGUGAGUGAGGACGGCCUUAGGGUUGUAAAACUCUUUCAGUGGGGAAGAUAAUGACGGUACCCACAGAAGAAGUCCCGGCAAACUCCGUGCCAGCAGCCGCGGUAAUACGGAGGGGGCAAGCGUUGUUCGGAAUUAUUGGGCGUAAAGGGCAUGUAGGUGGUUUGGUAAGUUAAAGGUGAAAUGCCAGGGCUUAACCCUGGAGCUGCUUUUAAUACUGCCAGACUGGAGUCCGGGAGA